rnacentral:rRNA from 1 species
CACAGGUGCUGCAUGGCCGUCGUCAGCUCGUGCCGUGAGGUGUUGGGUUAAGUCCCGCAACGAGCGCAACCCCCGCCGUUAGUUGCCAGCGGUUCGGCCGGGCACUCUAACGGGACUGCCCGCGAAAAGCGGGAGGAAGGAGGGGGACGACGGUCUGGUCAGCAUGGCCCUUACGGCCUGGGCGACACACGUGCUACAAUGCCCACUACAAAGCGAGGCCACCCGGCAACGGGGAGCUAAUCGCAAAAAGGUGGGCCCAGUUCGGAUUGGGGUCUGCAACCCGACCCCAUGAAGCCGGAAUCGCUAGUAAUCGCGGAUCAGCCAUGCCGCGGUGAAUACGUUCCCGGGCCCUU